rnacentral:rRNA from 1 species
CCGGGCCCGCUGGUCGGUGGCACAUUGGAUUCACACACUCGCCCGCCUGCUACGUCGCCGACGCCGCCGGCCAUUUUUUUCAGAUUAAAAUGGAUACAUAGAUAGUUCUAGCGUACACAGAUAAAAGAAAAAGACCACUACUCGUCGCUUUCUGACUCCGACUCGUUAAUGUCCUCCUCUGACGUUUGAAGGUAGGCGUCAGCAAGCUGCUCGUCUUCAAAGUCUCAACCCGAAGUUUCUCUUAGCUUCAGUUUCAAUUGAGUUGCCUGCUUCCGCGAACGCUUGUCCUCCCGAUAGGCGACUCGCUCCCUCCUCUUCUCCUCCCUCUCCGAUCUCAAUUGCUUGUAGAACUGGCGCUCGUCGACGAAGUCCUGCGGGUAGCCUCCGCGCCACACCACCAAGGCUUACACGUCCUUCUCUGCGAUGGCGAGGCGACGCUGCCGCCUCUGGUGGACACGACAAUCCUUGUCGGUGAAAAGCCGCGGGAGAGGCGCCAGAUCCUGCGCCCGCUGGCUCGACACGUUGGGAAAAUUCAUAUCCCGACGAGGCCUCAAGAGGCGCCACGCCGCCUCGUCGUGCGCGUGGGCCGCCUCCUCUGCGGUGUCGAAGGUGCCGAGGACGAGACGUUUCUCGUGAAACCACAUCUUGGCGGAGAAGGCACCGGAGCGGCGCUCGCGAACUCCGCGAAAAUCCGAAGCGCCCAGGCGGCGGAUCGAUAUGGUGGCGCAGAGGCGGAGAGAGUGGGCGGCCGACAAAGUGUGGAGGGAGCACCUUCUUUAUAGCAAGCGCCGGCCGCGGCGCGCGCGCGAACCUUUCCCGCGCGCUGGAGUGCCAAAACCAGGGCGACGGCACGAUGUUAAACACGUGCGGUCAUGAAAAUGGGUCGGCCUGUUGGCGCACUGCCGAUCCAAAACUAAAAGAGGCGGACGGCGGGCGGGUGGCCGAUCCAAAACUAAAAGAGGGCGGACGGCGGGUGGGUGGCCGACCCAAACGGAUAAAAAGCGGACAAAAACGCCGUCCGUUUGAGUCGGCCCGUUGGAGUUGCUUUUAGUACUUUUUUUUUGCGAGAUGACGGUGGUAAUUAGUACAACGUAGUACAUGUCAUGUCCAAGGCCACCGAGUAUGAAAGGGAUAGUAUUGUCGUUGCAGCGAGGUGUUCCUGUCUACGGCACAUGGGUCGUAAAGGUGAGAAAAUUCUUCGUCAUCCUCCUCCGCUCUAUGAAAGGGAUAGUAUAUUGGAGUGUUGCAUGUAGCGACAUGAGCUAGUGCUGAGUUGUGACCAGGCCUUGGUGGUCUAUAGGCGCGGCCGCGGGCAGUCCUCGACGGCAAGUGGCUCCUUGCUAUCUUGCGGAUUGGCGUCGUCUGGCGGGUCACGUACGGUUCUCCGGACACUGGCCUAUGCGUGUACUGACGAAUAGGCGGGUAGAUCUGAAAUUUCCACCAGGCUAUAAUUAAGAUUUUUUAUGUAAAACAUGAUAGCCAUGCAUGUCCUCAAGGUUGAAUGCAAGCAAUUGAAAAUUCGAUGGUAGCGAGAUAUUGGUAUCCUGGACAAAGUCUUCCAUUUUAUCCGGUAAACAUCAACCAAUAUGCACAGAAACACAAGGAAAUAUUUAUUUAUGCGAAAAUGAUCAAGACCUCUUAUCAAGGUUCAUCAAAAGUACAAACCGUCUUAAACAUAAAAAAAUUGCAUCCAGAUUCAGAGACCAUCGAACGACCACUACCGCCGCCAGAAUGAGCCGCCAAUGCGCCGCUGUCACCGCUCCCAUAUUAUAGCCAUCUUAAUCUUGUCGAUGACAGUCGAAAAGUCUUCGUGCACAUACACCUAAGGACUAGCAACUUGGAGUUGCAGCCGUCGCCAUUGAACUCUUUAAUAUAUCUGAAGCACCUGACAUGAAAUAUCGCCACAAAAAGAGAAACCCUAACCUCACCGCCGCAAAGUAGACGACUGGAAUCUAUGUCGGAACUCCGUUGACUACGUCCAGCUGGAUAACCCUCAAGGAGGAUCAGAGCCCAGAAGACGAACUCAAAGAAGAUGGCCGCCAUCUACCCGAGUGCCGCAAGCAAGUGUGAGGACCAAAAAAAUCUAUCCUAAACUACUAACCAGAGCAUAGGUAUCAGGAUUCCCCUUCCAGCCACCAGCUAUACCUGAGUGGUAGAUAGAGGGACGGCAAACGCACGGGCUCACUGGCAGAGCCUGAAGAGGAGAGUUGUUGUUACCGCCAAGAGAUA